rnacentral:rRNA from 1 species
GACGAACGCUGGCGGCGUGCUUAACACAUGCAAGUCGAACGGAGCGAAUGAAAGCUUGCUUUUAUAAGCUUAGUGGCAAACGGGUGAGUAACACGUAGACAACCUGCCGACAGGAUGGGGACAACAUUCCGAAAGGAAUGCUAAUACCGAAUGAAGUGCAGGGGAGGCAUCUCCCCUGCAUGAAAGAUGGCCUCUUUUUAUGCUAUCACCUGUUGAUGGGUCUGCGUCUGAUUAGCUGGUAGGUGAGGUAACGGCUCACCUAGGCGACGAUCAGUGGCCGGUCUGAGAGGAUGAACGGCCACAUUGGGACUGAGACACGGCCCAGACUCCUACGGGAGGCAGCAGUGGGGAAUCUUCCGCAAUGGGCGCAAGCCUGACGGAGCAACGCCGCGUGAGUGAAGAAGGUCUUCGGAUCGUAAAGCUCUGUUGAUGGGGACGAACGUGCCUAAUGCGAAUAGUAUUAGGUAANGACGG